GGAUGAGUAUUGCGCAAUGGAGGCAACUCUGACGCAGCCAUGCCGCGUGCAGGAUGAAGGCGCUACGCGUUGUAAAACUGCUUUUUAACCGGGGAAGAAACCCUCCGACGUGUCGGAGGUUGACGGUACCGGAGGAAUAAGCACCGGCUAACUUCGUGCCAGCAGCCGCGGUAAUACGAAGGGUGCAAGCGUUAUCCGGAUUCAUUGGGUUUAAAGGGUGCGUAGGCGGAGCACUAAGUCAGUGGUGAAAUCCCGCAGCUCAACUGUGGAAUUGCCAUUGAUACUGGUGCUCUUGAGUGUGGUUGACGUGGGCGGAAUGUGCCGUGUAGCGGUGAAAUGCUUAGAUAUGGCACAGAGUUACCGAUCGCGAAGGCAGCUCGCGAAGCCACAA
rnacentral:rRNA from 1 species